CGUCGUGGCUGGCCGUUGUUCCUCGCGGUGGCAUGCUGAUAAAUCUCCUCCUCACCGUAUGAGGACACUGCUAAUGCGGCGGCGGAGUUUAACUUGCCGGAAGAUAUGUUCGGAGUAGAACUGAACAUAGCGGACCGGAGCCGUGGGCCAUGCAAACCGUUGGUACUAUUCCAUUACUACAACCUACAGGAGCUACUCAUAUAAAGCAUUAAGCUUUGGCAAAAAAAAGGCUCAAAAACAAAGCAAGCAGGAGACCAGUCGUUGGUCCAAAAAACAAAAUACCCAUUUGCUGAUUUUGAGUUCCCCCUCCGCUUUGCUUUUUCUGCAUUCUCGAGGUUAGUCCUAAAGUUUGCAACUUUCCCUUUACUUAAAAAAACCCAAAACAAAAACAUUUUUUAAAGAACAAGAUAGUGAAAUCUUGAAAUGUUGAUGGAGAUUGGAGAUUGUUUUUUUUUUGAAUUUAAAAAACAAUGAUAUUCUUAUUCCCCUGA